CAUGUACUCCCUCCGUCCAAAAAUUCUUGUUUUAGAUUUGUCCAAAUACAGAUGUAUCAAGUCGCGUUUUAGUAUUAGAUACAUCCAUAUCUAGAAAAAUGUAAGACAAGAAUUUUGAGACGGAGGGAGUACAUA
rfam:Triticum aestivum genome assembly, contig: Triticum_aestivum_CS42_TGACv1_scaffold_323301_4BL